AUAUUAUUUGCGCACAUUUUUUAGAGGAACGGAACACAAAAUAAAGACGUGGAAAUGUGAAGCGUCAUGCUGCCGCAGCACUAAAUGAUCAUAAAGAGAGUGGAGCAGAGAGAGGUAGACUUGGAAAAAGAUCUAUGUAUGUAUACAUAUGCAUGUGAGCGCACAUGUGUGUGUGAAAGAGAGCUAUAUGAUUAUACACGGAUCUCAGUCAAAUGCACAUGAAUAAAUUAACUCCACUGUAGACGGAGGGUAGGUAGAAAGAAGCGAGGUGUACCGAUUGCUUAUCGCAGCCUUGACCAGUGGGUGCUUCAGUGUGAUAACACAAUUCCGCAAAAAAAUAAUAGCUGUAAUUAUUGGGCUAUUGGGAAUAUGGGCGCGCACUUGGCGAUUGAACAUGAAACAAAUACAUGGCCACACCUUUGA
rnacentral:sRNA from 1 species